UGUUCAGAUAAGGAGAAAUGCUAUGCCACUGAUUGGCGCCACUAGACAGGGGGGAGGGUUGUCAUCUCUCUGAAGCGAGUGAUUUUCAGGGUGAACUCCGAACGGAUCAGCAAGCAGAAGUCCCUUUACAGUUGGAGUUCCCCAUUACCACUUUCAUUGGAUGUUUGUUCAGGUUUCAAGCCUUCUUAAGCAUCACUACUUCAUUCUGUCUUGUGAGAGGCUCUGGUGCAGCAGAGUCAGUUCUGCACAGCCAGUUAAGUUCCUGUGAAUGGUGGAAAGCCAUUGUGAAGAGUUUCUGCACUACGAAGCAGAGAAUGAAAUAAUAUAAACUUUAAAAUGAAGAAAUGGAGGUACUGCUAUGAAAAGGUACCAUAUCAACCACUCUCUCACACACACA